rnacentral:lncRNA from 1 species
UGCCUAGCUGCCAUGCAACCUUCCCCUACACGGUAAACAAUUCCUGGGACAGAAGUGCAUCCUUUGAGGAGGGAAUAGCGGCUCCCUACUUUGAAUUAGAAGCUUUAUUGAGGGACAAUCCACAAGUAAAAUGGAUUCAAGAGACAGCUGGACACCCAUGCUUGAGACUCAGUCUCUCCAUUCCGGAGCCUGAAGUGGUGUGAACUCAAACAAUCCAAAGGUUUUCCUCCUGUCAUGACUGGGCCCAGGAAUUCUCACGAAGUCCACUGUUGGAGGGAGAUCUUCCUUCACAGAACCGAUCCUCAGAAGGCCAUUAGACAAGGAUUUGGCGCUACUGAACUCUGGGUGAACCCUGCCAAACUCAGACAGGGCAGGGCCAGGUGGGCUUCUGGAGAGUCAGACCGAGCUGCCAGGGAGUUGGGCCCAGCUUUUUCACUUCUAAGCCCACUGGCCUUGGGCAAGCCACUUAACCUCU